CCAGACUCCUACGGGAGGCAGCAGUGGGGAAUAUUGCACAAUGGGCGAAAGCCUGAUGCAGCGACGCCGCGUGAGUGAAGAAGUAUUUCGGUAUGUAAAGCUCUAUCAGCAGGGAAGAAAAUGACGGUACCUGACUAAGAAGCCCCGGCUAACUACGUGCCAGCAGCCGCGGUAAUACGUAGGGGGCAAGCGUUAUCCGGAUUUACUGGGUGUAAAGGGAGCGUAGACGGCAAUGCAAGUCUGGAGUGAAAGCCCAAGGCCCAACCAUGGGACUGCUCUGGAAACUGUGUAGCUUGAGUGCAGGAGGGGUAAGCGGAAUUCCUAGUGUAGCGGUGAAAUGCGUAGAUAUUAGGAAGAACACCAGUGGCGAAGGCGGCUUUCUGGACUGAAACUGACGCUGAGGCACGAAAGCGUGGGGAGCGAACAGGAUUAGAUACCCGAGUA
rnacentral:rRNA from 1 species